UUCCACGUGAACAGCAGUUGAAUGUGGGUCAGUCGAUCCUAAGAUAUUGGCUAAUGCCGUUUUUUUGAAUAAAAUAGAGGAAUGGAGAUGUAAUCCAUCUGAUAAAUCGAAAGGGAAACGGGUUAAUAUUCCCGUACCUGGACACGGAGAUAAAUACUCAUCGUGAGAAUUUAGCGCGGUAACGCAAAUGAACUCGGAAACAUUGAGGAAAGCCCGAGCCAGAGUUCUCUUUUCUGGUUAAGGAACGGACUCCCUGGAAUCGGUUCAGCCGGAGAUAGGGAUGUUGUUUCCGUAAAGCGCCACGGUUCCUGUGGUGUCUCGUGCGCUUUGUUCGAUCCAUGAAAAUCCGAGGGAAGCUAUUUGAAUUUGUGUAAUUGUUUGAGGGCGAA
rnacentral:ncRNA from 1 species